GAACUGACAGAACUUCCUCCCUUCGCCCCGAGGUUUGGAACUGGAAUGGAGCUGCUUUUCUCCCAAACACUACAAGGUGUGUGAGGAGGGGGAGGCAGGACGAAAACAUCGUGUGGACUCAUCCCGGCCCGACCCCCCGACAUCCACGAGGGAUGAUCCUGCACUGCGCUUGAUGUGGAAAACACUUGGAGACUCAGAGACUUCGUCGUGUCCAGCAGCUUAAUUCUUGACUUAUUUUGUUCUUGUUUUGGUUUUUUUUUCCCUUUUUUUUUUUAAGUGGAUCCGUAGCAUUACUUUUGCGAAUUGAAUUUUGCCACCGUUUGUACAGAAGCCAAAUGACACGUGUGUUUUGAAACACGGUUCCAAAUAUAUUUAUCCCUCCCUCGACCCGGAUUCUCUCUAGAAAGAGCCGCGGGGAGGUCGUCAGUGUCUAAACAAACCUGAUUUUAGUGUUUUCUGAACACUACCUGCUGCAGAGAUGUUGCUAUAAAUUGCUUUAUAACGGUUCAGCAAGAAGGGAGAUUUUUUUUUUUUUUCCAGCUUGCAGGACCCAGGAAACUGGAUACUUAAAAGUCACUUAAAUGUUUUAACAGCGUUGGAAAAUGGGAGCUGCUACUAAGUUGGCGUUCGCUGUUUUUCUUAUCUCUUGUUCAUCAGCCUGGUGGGUGUGGAAGCCUCUUCAGGUUCAAAGAGAUUUUAUUUUACUAUCUGCAAAGUGCUCUGUGAAACCCUGCAAAUGGACAGGAAUUUCCAGUGGCUCUGAUCAUCUUUGCUAAGGGAGUGAAAACAUUUCCCCCUUCUGACUAAGAUAUUUGAAAAAGAGCAUCUGUGUUGUUAUUAGGCUUUAAAAUAUUUGUUAGAUGCUCGGCUGGAAGUGGGUGUAGGUUUGUAGUUAUCCAGGAGGAUGAGAUGAAUGCACAUUAACUCAACGUGAAAACAAAGUGCCCGGGUCAAGGUUCUCCUUGUGCCCUCUAAUACACUUCUGAGAUAAACCUGUGUGUGGUUUUGAUUUAAUAAGGAACAGAAGGUCCUGAAG
rnacentral:lncRNA from 1 species